rnacentral:rRNA from 1 species
UACGUAGGGGGCUAGCGUUGUCCGGAAUCAUUGGGCGUAAAGAGCGUGUAGGCGGCCAGGUAGGUCAGCUGUGAAAACUCGAGGCUCAACCUCGAGACGCCGGUUGAAACCAUCUGGCUAGAGUCCGGAAGAGGAGAGUGGAAUUCCUGGUGUAGCGGUGAAAUGCGCAGAUAUCAGGAAGAACACCCGUGGCGAAGGCGGCUCUCUGGGACGGUACUGACGCUGAGACGCGAAAGCGUGGGGAGCGAACAGG